AAUGUGAAGUCAACCGACAGGGCUAUGGCAAUUGACACAUUCGAGAUGUCCAACAUAUGGAAAAGGAAACAACCAAAAGUGAAGCUGGAUCCACACAUGUACAAGUACAUCCUUGGGAUCAUCAAUGAGAACCACCACUGGAAACUCACUGUCAUGAUCCCAUCACAAAAAAAGGCUCUCUUACUCGAUCCUCUUGGGGAAUCCAGUACCGACAUAAAUAGUUGCAAAGAUGUAACAAGAGCCUUCAUGAGACUUAGGGGGAUUAAUGUGUCCAGAUGGGGAUGCGACACAGUCCCACACCCUCGUCAGACUGACAGUACCUCCUGCGGGCCCUUUGUAUUGAAAAAAUCCGAAAAGCAAAAAAUGUCCCACAUUAGGGCAAUCCACCCUACUUAAGGGUGAAAACUGCAAAUUCAAUACAUCAAGAAAAGGUGUAGGGGAAAUGUGAAUGGCAAUCGCAACUGCUCUCCUUCAGAAUACUGAUGACCUGACUGAGGUGUGCCACCAAUGUGGACAGACAGACA
ensembl:lncRNA